AAGCCUGGCCAAGAACAGGUCAUGACUAUCUAAACAGGAAAUAAGCAAAAGGAAACAAAGGAUAAAAGAAAAGAAAUGAUAAAACUAAAGAAGUAACUAAAAGGAAAGUGAAAAACCCAAGGAUGAACUCUGUGUAACAUUCGACCCUAGAGAUUCACCCCUAAACUUGGACAUUCAGCUCAUCUAAAUUGUUGCUGCUCUGUUGGAAAUCAACCAGAUUGACCUCAGAAGGUACGAGCCUAAGGGAGGCGGACAAUGUGGUAACCAAGUUGGUGCCAAGUUUUUGGAAGGUUUUUGUGCCAAACACGACAUUGAUUCUACCGGUCUUUACAGUGGUGAUUCUAAUCUCCACUUGAAAGAAUUAAUGUGUAUUACAACGAGGUUACCAGUGGAAGAUUUGUUCCUAGGGAUGUUCUUAUGGAUUUAGAGCACCAUGGACAAUAUUUGAUCUGGUCCUUAUGGACAGACCUUCCAUCGUGAUAACUUUGUUUUUGGACAAGCUGGUGCUGGUAACAAUUGGGCUAAAGUGCAUUACACCAAAGGUGCUGAAUUGAUUGAUGUAGUUCUCGAUCUUGUUCGUAAGGAAGUCGAAAACUUUUCCUGUCUGCCUUCAAGGUUUAAGAGGUAGAAUUGAAUCAAGACUACGUGAAAGCUAAAUGCAUAAUACAUAAAUAUGCCCUUUAACUUGGCUUCGAAUUACUUUUAUGCCCUUUAACUUUGAGUGUGCACAAGUACACACUUAGACUUGUAUGAAGUUGAACAAAUAGACACACAUGUCCGACAUGUAAUCCUACAUAUAAUUUUUUUCCUA